GCUUUUUGAUCCUUCGAUGUCGGCUCUUCCUAUCAUUGUGAAGCAGAAUUCACCAAGUGUUGGAUUGUUCACCCACCAAUAAGGAAUGUGAGCUGGGUUUAGACUGUCAUGAGACAGGUUAGUUUUACCCUACUGAUGAACCGCGCCACAAUAGUAAUUCAAAUUAGUACGAGAGGAAUCGUUGAUUCACACAAUUGGUCAUCGUGCUUGGUUGAAAAGCCAGUGGCGUGAAGCUACCAUGUGUUGGAUUAUGAUUGAAUGCCUCUAAGUCAGAAUCCAUGCUAGAAGCGGUGCUUGUCACUCCUUGACUGUAUAUUGACCCGCAACAGGGGUGUUGUUUUGGCACCCCCAUGGGCAUGUGUCACUUGCGAACCUCGGUCGGGAAGUGUCUCGGUCGGGGCAGCUUUGAAGUUCAAUUUCAAACGGUCGUUGAGAAGAAUCCUUUACAGACGACUUAAAUACGCGACGGGGUAUUAUAAGUGGCAGAGUGGCCUUGCUGCCACGAUCCACUGAGAUUU
rnacentral:ncRNA from 1 species